AUACUAGACGUACUGUAUUCCACAUACAGCUGCAGUUGAUAACAAGAAGGACCAAAAAGACGUUCCUGAAAGAGUGGAGGACAUCAACUGUAUCGCUCUGACCAAUACAGGAAAAGGAGAAGAUGCUCUUGAUAUCCCCGAACAAUCUGAUGACGGACUGACCAAAAAGCAAGGCUGUGAAGGCCAUCAGAAAGAAGAGCAGUGGGGGUCAUCUGAUCAUGACAACUGCAUCUGUCAAGCGCCAGACCGUCUCUGCUAUCAUGUUGACUGUCUUCCUGGUUCUGAGAUUGUCCGUGACUCCGAUGGUAUCUGGAGCUGUGAUGUUACUUCCUACAAACGAGACAUUACAGGAUCAGCGGUUGCGAUGCAUGAGAGAAUAAAGCGGUUUACGGGACUCGAAAUAUUCGGCCUCGCUACAGGCAUUUUCGGCGUUGUGGCAAGCAUAAUCGGAUUCACUGUCGACCGCA